UACGAAGGGGGCUAGCGUUGUUCGGAAUUACUGGGCGUAAAGCGCGCGUAGGCGGUGAUCUGUGUCAGAGGUGAAAGCCCGGGGCUCAACUCCGGAAUUGCCUUUGAAACGGGAUCGCUUGAGUCCGAGAGAGGAUGGCGGAAUUCCUAGUGUAGAGGUGAUAUUCGUAGAUAUUAGGAAGAACACCGGUGGCGAAGGCGGCCAUCUGGCUCGGUACUGACGCUCAGGCGCGAAAGCGUGGGGAGCAAACAGG
rnacentral:rRNA from 1 species